rnacentral:rRNA from 1 species
ACCCGCUGAACUUAAGCAUAUCAAUAAGCGGAGGAAAAGAAACCAACAGGGAUUGCCCUAGUAACGGCGAGUGAAGCGGCAACAGCUCAAAUUUGAAAUCUGGCUCUUUUAGAGUCCGAGUUGUAAUUUGCAGAGGGCGCUUUGGCUUUGGCAGCGGUCCAAGUUCCUUGGAACAGGACGUCACAGAGGGUGAGAAUCCCGUACGUGGUCGCUGGCUAUUGCCGUGUAAAGCCCCUUCGACGAGUCGAGUUGUUUGGGAAUGCAGCUCUAAAUGGGAGGUACAUUUCUUCUAAAGCUAAAUAUUGGCCAGAGACCGAUAGCGCACAAGUAGAGUGAUCGAAAGAUGAAAAGCACUUUGGAAAGAGAGUCAAACAGCACGUGAAAUUGUUGAAAGGGAAGCGCUUGCAGCCAGACUUGCUUACAGUUGCUCAUCCGGGCUUUUGCCCGGCGCACUCUUCUGUAGGCAGGCCAGCAUCAGUUUGGGCGGUAGGAUAAAGGUCUCUGUCACGUACCUCUCUUCGGGGAGGCCUUAUAGGGGAGACGACAUACUACCAGCCUGGACUGAGGUCCGCGCAUCUGCUAGGAUGCUGGCGUAAUGGCUGU